GCCGCAACACCGCUCCCGCCGGCGGCGCCGUGUAGAGCUCUACUGAGGGCCCCGGUCGCGGCGGCGGCGGCGCAGGCGCGGUGCGGUGCGGUGCGGUGCGGUGCGGUGCGGUGCGGCGCGGCGGGGAGGGCCCCGGCGCUGAGGUAGCACCUCGGGGAGCAUGGAGCUGUCAGCGGCGUGGGGCUCCGCACUGCCCGAGGGCACAGCAUGGGCCGUGGGGGAUGAAGGUGGACGGGUCCUGAGGCACCUGCGAGGUGCAGGCGAAGUUUUCCGGAUCCAGCCAAGAUGAGAAGGCACUUACAAUUCAUUCUUGGGGUCAGCAGACAAAGGAGUAAAGAGUUCUGGUGAUUGGAAUUCAAAGGCAUAAUCACUAAAAAGAUCCUAAGAAAUCCACAUGCUUUUAUGUCACUGGAUCAAGUCAAUCUGUCUGGACUGUCUGCCCAUCUCCAGGACAAGAGGAAGAAAAGGUGUGAUACUACAGGCAGAAAAUCUUGCUCCAUUUGUUCCUCUCACACGCAAGUUGAUAGAAUCACAAAACCCCAUAGAAAUCACCACAUUUCUUCUGAGCACACAGUAAAAAGACCUUAUUAUUUAGACAUUAUAAGGUAGAUGUAUCAGGUUACAGAGGUCAUAGCUUCCCGGCAUACUCUUGUCUUGUGUGGUAGUUCUGCCACUGGAAAAUCUUUCUCCCCUUCUAAAGACAAAGUUCUCCCUCCUCAUCCUGGAUGCAGUCAACCCUGACACCAUAUAUAUAUGGGAACAUGAGAAACAAUCCUGAUAGAUGAAAUAGUUUUAUUUUUAUCUCCCUCACUUGUGACAGAUUAAAUGGAUAAAAACACUUAAGACCACUGACAAUAAAAUAGUGGGCAGAGACAAUCAAGAUUGGCAGCUGGACAUAAUUUCUACAACCAAACGAAAGAGAAACUGUGUCAUCUGCAACAUGGAUUCUGAACCUGGCUAACUAUUUUCAUUGUAACUUCAGUUGGGGAUGCACUGCUUUGCAUGUCCCAUCUGUCUACCAACCACAUACAUGUGGUAAUACAUAACCGAAGUUAGACCCUUGCCAUGUCCUAUGGAGGUUGCAACCUCAAAUCCAGUAUCUGCUAUAAGAAUGAGUUAAAAAGAUUACUGGGGCGGGAGAGGAGGGAGGAGGAAAGGGGGCUGGGGAGGUAUGAUACUGGGAAGAAAACAAGGCUAAGACAGGUUUCAUGGAGUGGAGCAGAUCCUGGUUUGAAACCUAUCUAAGCUCUUGACACUAGAUGUCGUUGCCACCACGUCUCCCAGGGGGACAGCCGGCUCCUGGUGCAGGGCUGCUUCAGAGCUUUGCUGGCAGAGGCGUGUCAUUUGCAAUAUUGAGGAAUAUAAACCUUUUGCUCUUGUUGCUGUAAAUUCAACUGCCUUUUUCUUCAGCCUGUUUUUAGUACUAUCAGACAUAGACUGAUGCCUGCACAGAGAUGGCCAGUCAGGAAGAGACACUAUGGAGAAGCCUCGAUUCCUUGGGAAAGUCCCCAACACCCAGGAGGGAUGUCACAUGCCUACAAUUCUGCACCUGAGUUAUGUCUGUGUAUAUAAGGAUAUACAUCGAUAGAUAUCACUGUCUGUGCAUGCACAUUGCUGGCAUGAAGGCUUGUUCCAGUUUCACAGGCGCUGUUGGUGGGGAGGCAUGUGGCAGCAUCCUCUUCAGUGCCUUGCAUUUUUCUGUGAGGGUGAUGAAGGAUUUUCUUCAAUCAAAUCAGCAUU